ensembl:lncRNA novel transcript, antisense to SGIP1
AUAUCUCAGGCUGAUCUAAAAGAACUGGAAACAAAAAAGAAGAUUUCCCAGGUGAUCUGGGCAGCCUCUACCAAUGUGAUGCGAAUGAUGAGAAUGUGAUGGCGAAGAUGAGGAGCCCCUGACAAACGUAGUCGGGAAUGACGAAAACUGUCCAGCAGCAACAGAACCCUGGUGGACCAGAUGACCUUAGAAAACACAAAAUCAAUGUGCAAAAAUCAUGAGCAUUCCUAUACACAAAUAACAGACAAACAGAGAGCCAAAUCAUGAGUGAACUCCCAUUCACAAUUGCUUCAAAGAGAAUAAAAUACCUAAGAAUUCAACUUACAAGGGAUGUGAAGGACCUCUUCAAGAAGAACUACAAACCACUGCUCAAUGAAAUAAAAGAGGACACAAACAAAUGGAAGAACAUUCCAUGCUCAUGGAUAGGAAGAAUCAAUAUCAUGAAAAUGGCCAUACUACCUAAGGUAAUUUAUAGAUUCAAUGCCAUUCCCAUCAAGCUACCAAUGACUUUCUUCACAAAACUGGAAAAAACUACUUUAAAGUUCAUAUGGAACCAAAAAAGAGCCCUCAUUGCCAAGACAAUCAUAAGCAAAAAGAACAAAGCUGGAGGCAUCACACUGCCUGACUUUAAACUAUGCUACAAGGCUACAGUAACCAAAACAGCAUGCUGCUGGUACCUAAACAGAGAUAUAGACCAAUGGAACAGAACAGAGGUCUCAGAAAUAACAAUACACAUCUACAACCAUCUGAUCUUUGACAAACCUGACAAAAACAAGCAAUGGGGAAAGGAUUCCCUAUUUAAUAAAUAGUGCUGGGAAAACUGGCUAGCCAUAUGUAGAAAGCUGAAACUGGAUCCCUUCCUUACACCUUAUACAAAAAUUAAUUCAAGAUGGAUUAAAGACUUACAUGUUAGACCUAAAACCAUAAAAACCCUAGAUGAAAACCUAGGUAAUACCAUUCGGGACAGAGGCAUGGGCAAGGACUUCAUGACUAAAACACCAAAAGUAAUGACAACAAAAGCCAAAAUAGACAAAUGGGAUCUAAUUAAACUGAAGAGCUUCUGCACAGGAAAAGAAACUACCAUCAGAGUGAACAGGCAACCUACAGAAUGGGAGAAAAUUUUUGUAGUCUACUCAUCUGACAAAGGGCUAAUAUC